GUACGUAGGGGGCUAGCGUUGUCCGGAAUCAUUGGGCGUAAGCGCGUGUAGGCGGUCCGGUAAGUCCGCUGUGAAAGUCGGGGGCUCAACCCUCGAAUGCCGGUGGAUACUGUCGGGCUAGAGUGCGGAAGAGGCGAGUGGAAUUCCUGGGUGUAGCGGUGAAAUGCGCAGAUAUCAGGAGGAACACCAAUUGCGAAGGCAGCUCGCUGGGACGUUACUGACGCUGAGACG
rnacentral:rRNA from 1 species